rnacentral:rRNA from 1 species
GAUUCGUCACACUAUCAUUAACUGAAUCCAUAGGUUAAUGAGGCGAACCGGGGGAACUGAAACAUCUAAGUACCCCGAGGAAAAGAAAUCAACCGAGAUUCCCCCAGUAGCGGCGAGCGAACGGGGAGGAGCCCAGAGCCUGAAUCAGCAUGUGUGUUAGUGGAAGCGUCUGGAAAGGCGCGCGAUACAGGGUGACAGCCCCGUACACAAAAGCGCAUGUGCUGUGAGCUCGAUGAGUAGGGCGGGACACGUGGUAUCCUGUCUGAAUAUGGGGGGACCAUCCUCCAAGGCUAAAUACUCCUGACUGACCGAUAGUGAACCAGUACCGUGAGGGAAAGGCGAAAAGAACCCCGGCGAGGGGAGUGAAAAAGAACCUGAAACCGUGUACGUACAAGCAGUGGGAGCACAGGUUUACCUGUGUGACUGCGUACCUUUUGUAUAAUGGGUCAGCGACUUAUAUUCUGUAGCAAGGUUAACCGUAUAGGGGAGCCGUAGGGAAACCGAGUCUUAAUUGGGCGUUAAGUUGCAGGGUAUAGACCCGAAACCCGGUGAUCUAGCCAUGGGCAGGUUGAAGGUUGGGUAACACUAACUGGAGGACCGAACCGACUAAUGUUGAAAAAUUAGCGGAUGACCUGUGGCUGGGGGUGAAAGGCCAAUCAAACCGGGAGAUAGCUGGUUCUCCCCGAAAGCUAUUUAGGUAGCGCCUCGUGAAUUCAUCUCCGGGGGUAGAGCACUGUUUCGGCUAGGGGGCCAUCCCGGCUUACCAACCCGAUGCAAACUGCGAAUACCGGAGAAUGUUAUCACGGGAGACACACGGCGGGUGCUAACGUCCGUCGUGAAGAGGGAAACAACCCAGACCGCCAGCUAAGGUCCCAAAGUCAUGGUUAAGUGGGAAACGAUGUGGGAAGGCCCAGACAGCCAGGAUGUUGGCUUAGAAGCAGCCAUCAUUUAAAGAAAGCGUAAUAGCUCACUGGUCGAGUCGGCCUGCGCGGAAGAUGUAACGGGGCUAAACCAUGCACCGAAGCUGCGGCAGCGACGCUUAUGCGUUGUUGGGUAGGGGAGCG